UACGGAGGGUGCGAGCGUUGUCCGGAAUCACUGGGCGUAAAGGGCGCGUAGGCGGCCUGAUAAGUAGGGGGUGAAAUCCUGCGGCUUAACCGCAGGGCUGCCUUCUAAACUGUCAGGCUAGAGCACAGUAGAGGCAGGUGGAAUUCCCGGUGUAGCGGUGGAAUGCGUAGAGAUCGGGAAGAACAUCAGUGGCGAAGGGGGCCUGCUGGGCUGUUGCUGACGCUGAGGCGCGACAGCGUGGGGAGCAAACAGG
rnacentral:rRNA from 1 species